UGGAAAUGGAACUAAACUGGACAUUGAAGAGCAAAAAUCAGGUUCUGAACUUACUGUGCUGGUUAUGGCAAUAAUCUUCUUGGUUAUUUCUGUGACUCUCAUUAUUGUUUGUUGUCGAACUCCAAGAGGAAUAUGUGAACAAUGCAAAGAUGCAGUUGCUUUGCAAACAAAUCUGACAGCAAAAGGAGAUCAGGAAAUUCUGCAGACAGAUGACGACUCAUUGGUUUAUUCUGUAGCAAUUUUCUCUUGUGGAAAAAUUAGAUACAGGAACAAAGACUAGAUACAGGACUACAGAACCUGCAGAAGAUGAGAAAUGAUUUGAAGGCUCUUGAGCCGGAUUGAUAUCUAGACACAUAUAACUCUUGCCUUUUUAAAUUAGAUUAGAAAUGUACUUGUUCUUCUAGCUAACCUAAUUUUAACCUAAUUUCUCCAUGUUUUAUUGUUUUAUUUUAUGUUGUUUUCUAUCUUUUCUCUUCUCUUCUUUUGACAUGUUUCUAGAUAUUCUUGUAUCUGGAUUCAUUUCUCCAUGUCCCACAUCAGUUUGAAAAUGUCAUUGUAAUGUAUAAAAAGAAAAAGAUGGAAACAGUGGAUGUAUUACUUCCUUCUUAGUAGACAGAAAGAAAAUAGUGUACUUCAAUACAAUUAUAUUACAUGAAAUGAAAACAUCUAUUUUAUACAAUUUCUUUAAGUAUUGAGCGUGCCUAUGUUUUUAAUAUGUUUUUGCAUUUUUUUAAAUUUGUGUUCAUUUCAUUCAAUUAUGACCUUCAUGUUUUGAAAAUAUCUCAGUCAGUAUAUGUUGAUUUGAAAUGAAUAAAAAGUUAC
ensembl:lncRNA